rnacentral:rRNA from 1 species
ANAGAGCAGCGUUAUCCGGAAUUAUUGGGCGUAAAGCGUCCGCAGGUGGCGAAUCAAGUCUGCUGUCAAAGGUCGGGGCUUAACUCCGGAAAGGCAGUGGAAACUGAGUCGCUAGAGUGCGGUAGGGGUAGAGGGAAUUCCCGGUGUAGCGGUGAAAUGCGUAGAGAUCGGGAAGAACAUCGGUGGCGAAAGCGCUCUACUGGGCCGCAACUGACACUCAGGGACGAAAGCUAGGGGAGCGAAUGGGAUUA